ensembl:misc_RNA Metazoa_SRP Metazoan signal recognition particle RNA
GCCAGGCACAGUGGCACAUGCCUGUAGUCCCAGCUACUUGGGAGGCUGAGACAGGAGGAUCGCUUGAGUCCAGUUCUGAGAUGAAGUGAGCUAUUCUGAUCGCCUGUCUGCACUAAGUUCAGCAUCAAUAUGGUCCCUCCCAGGAGCGGGGGACCACCAGGUUGCCUAAGGAGGGGUGAAGCUGCCCAGGUUGGAAAUGGAGUAAGUCAAAAGUCUAUGUAAAGGGGUCAAGACAUCGUCACUUCUCAGUGUUGGGCUAGGGGUAUGGCUCAG